GCCGGCCGGCUUUGUCCGGCGUCUUUUCUUGGCGGCGCGGGUGCGCUUGGUCGCUUCCCCGGCGUCGGCGCGCCUCUUUGCGACCGGUCGCGCCGAUUCCGCCGGUGCCUCGCUUUGGGCGAGAACACCCACGCGGUCGUCCAUCUUGUUGUCCCUGUGUGGUGUGCCGCCUUUUUUUCUUCUGGCGCUGCUGCUCUUCUUUUCCUCCCGAUGCUUGUGCGAGUUUGUGUGGCGGUUCUUGGUUUUUUCCCGUCGCCCGGUUCGAUCGCCUUUGUUUCGGCACGCGCUCUCUUUUUUUUUUCUCCUCGCUCACUCGGGCGGAGCGCCGGCGCCCAAAAGGAAGCGGGCGCGAGAAAAGCCCAGCCUUCUUUCCCCUCUUUUUUUUUCCUUUCUCUCUCGUGUGUCUCUUGCUGUUGCGCGUC
rnacentral:lncRNA from 1 species